UGGGGAAUAUUGCACAAUGGGCGCAAGCCUGAUGCAGCCAUGCCGCGUGUAUGAAGAAGGCCUUCGGGUUGUAAAGUACUUUCAGCGGGGAGGAAGGCGACAAGGUUAAUAACCUUGUCGAUUGAUGUUAGCCGCAGAAGAAGCACCGGCUAACUCCGUGCCAGCAGCCGCGGUCAUACGGAGGGUGCAAGCGUUAAUCGGAAUUACUGGGCGUAAAGCGCACGCAGGCGGUCUGUCAAGUCGGAUGUGAAAUCCCCGGGCUCAACCUGGGAACUGCAUUCGAAACUGGCAGGCUAGAGUCUUGUAGAGGGGGGUAGAAUUCCAGGUGUAGCGGUGAAAUGCGUAGAGAUCUGGAGGAAUACCGGUGGCGAAGGCGGCCCCCUGGACAAAGACUGACGCUCAGGUGCGAAAGCGUGGGGAGCAAACA
rnacentral:rRNA from 1 species